rnacentral:rRNA from 1 species
AACGAACGCUGGCGGCGCGCCUAAUACAUGCAAGUCGAGCGAGAAGACGUAGCAAUACGUUUGUAAAGCGGCGAACGGGUGAGGAAUACAUGGGUAACCUACCCUCGAGUGGGGAAUAACUAGCCGAAAGGUUAGCUAAUACCGCGUACGCUCCUUGGACUUCGGUUCAGGGAGGAAAGCGAUACCGUGGGUAUCGCGCUCUUGGAUGGGCUCAUGUCCUAUCAGCUUGUUGGUGAGGAACGGCUCACCAAGGCUUCGACGGGUAGCUGGUCUGAGAGGACGAUCAGCCACACUGGCACUGCGACACGGGCCAGACUCCGUACGGGAGCAGCAGUAAGGAAUAUUGCGCAAUGGGACGAAAGCCUGACGCAGCGACGCCGCGGUGGGGGNGG